rnacentral:lncRNA from 1 species
UCCCCGCAGCCAUGAUGGUGGCCUCCUCCAUCCAUCCAGCCUCGGAGCUUCCCGCCUGCAACCGGAAACUCUCUUGUACUUUAGCACACACCGAAAUACUCGAAUCCCCAUCUAAUCCAUCUGAACUCGAAUAAGGAAAUCCCGUUGACAAAAGUAGGGUUACCGCGUACCGGACGACGCGCGGGCUCCUCCCCUUCCCUCGAUCCUCAAGAUGAGCACCCCCACCGGAAGAAUGAGGGAGGAGGCGAUGAAGGGCGGCAUAUGCCGAUGCACCCAUUGGCGGCGGACGGAGGCGUGGUUUUUACGGAGCUUGCCACUACGGUAGGCGGUAGCCAUUUCUUCAUUUUUCUUUUUGUUUUUAAUCGACCUCUUUCUUACUUCGGGCCCAAAAACAUUACAUCGAAUCUUCGGACACAUGUAUGGAGUAUUAAAUAUAAAUAAAAAGAAAACCUAAUUGUAUAGUUAUGGGGAAAAUAGUGAGACGAA